CCCGAAAGUGGUGAGGAAUCAGGGAAGAUGCUAACUUGACUUAGUUAAAGCUAAGAGGGCCGGUAAAACUCGUGCCAGCCACCGCGGUUAUACGAGAGGCCCAAGUUGACAGACACCGGCGUAAAGCGUGGUUAAGGAAAACUAAAACUAAAGCCGAACACCUUCAGGGCAGUUAUACGCAUCCGAAGGCACGAAGCCCCACCACGAAAAUGGCUUUAUGAGCCCCUGACCCCACGAAAGCUAUGACACAAACUGGGAUUAGAUACCCCACUAUGCCUAGCCGUGAACAUUGAUAGAAUUCUACACCCUCUAUCCGCCUGGGUACUACAAGCAUUAGCUUGAAACCCAAAGGACUUGGCGGUACUUUAGAUCCCCCUAGAGGAGCCUGUUCUAUAACCGAUGACCCCCGUUCAACCUCACCCUCCCUUGUUUAUGCCGCCAAUUUACCGCCCUCUUCAGCUUACCCUGUGAAGGUCUAAUAAUAAGCAAAAUUGGGACCGCCCAUAACGUCAUGUCUAGGGCUAGUUGUGGAAAAAAGUUGGGCCCGUCACCACCUCCACGGGGGUGACCACCUUCACCGAAUCUCUGAUGAGGAUAAUGGUUGCAUUCGGUUGAACGCCCUGUGCCUGACCAACUGCCCCACACAAUGCCACGUCUAUUACCAAGGGGGGGGCAAGUGUGAUGCACAGGUCUUCGCCGCCUCUCAUCCUCCCCAUCUCUAUCCUCGUUUCUAUGCUUGGUCAACAGAAGUGAAUAUAAAGU
rnacentral:rRNA from 1 species